rnacentral:tRNA from 1 species
AAUAAGAUGCCUGAAAUUAAAGGACUAUUUUGAUAGAAUAGAUUAUGUACACAAGUACUCUUAUUA